rnacentral:rRNA from 1 species
AAACUCAAAGGAAUUGACGGGGGCCCGCACAAGCAGCGGAGCAUGUGGUUUAAUUCGAAGCAACGCGAAGAACCUUACCAGGUCUUGACAUCCAGUUAAAGCGGCAGAGAUGCCGUGUGCUUUCGGGCAAACUGAGACAGGUGGUGCAUGGUUGUCGUCAGCUCGUGUCGUGAGAUGUUGGGUUAAGUCCCGCAACGAGCGCAACCCUUAUUUUUAGUUACUAACGCGUGAAGGCGAGGACUCUAAAGAGACUGCCGGGGUCAACUCGGAGGAAG